AUGGCACUCUUGCUUGCACAAGACGGGGAGAUCUGAGGACAGGAAGCCGACCCGACAAGCCUCCAGGCAGAAAUACUGGAAGCAGGAUGGUCGAUGCUUCAAUUUUAUGCACUGGGCCAUGAUAUGCCUUACAAAGAUUAAAAUGCAUACAAAAACAUCAGGAAAGCUUAUGAUUUCACAAUAGUCCAGGAAUGAUGUAGAAUGUUUCAAAGAGGAGGAAGAAAAAAAGUAUCACCAGACAUACGACCCUUUCACAAGGGAUUCUCCCUAAGCUGAGUACAUGGCUGGAGGAAUUGAGAUG